GUUGUUGGAGAGGAAAAGUAUACAUUGGUCGAGCAAGUGAAGAAUCCUCAUUCAUGUACUAUCCUCAUAAAAGGGCCUAACGACCACACUAUUGCUCAAAUUAAAGACGCUGUCCGUGAUGGUUUAUGAUCAGUUAAGAAUACAUUAGAAGAUGAGUGUGUCGUAUUAGGAGCUGGAGCUUUUGAAGUUGCAGCAAGACAACACUUAAUCAAUGAAGUCAA